rnacentral:ncRNA from 1 species
ACAAUGGUACUCCCGUCCAGCCACAGUUUCAAGCAAUGGGGGCGGCUCUGUCAGAACGGCAGUUGGGGUGAAACGCCCGUGA